UACGGGGGGGGCAAGCGUUGUUCGGAAUUACUGGGCGUAAAGGGCUCGUAGGCGGCCAACUAAGUCAGACGUGAAAUCCCUCGGCUUAACCGGGGAACUGCGUCUGAUACUGGAUGGCUUGAGUUUGGGAGAGGGAUGCGGAAUUCCAGGUGUAGCGGUGAAAUGCGUAGAUAUACGGAGGAACACCAGCGGCGAAGGCGGGUAGCUGGGCCAACACUGACGCUAAAGUGCGAAAGCUAGGGGAGCAAACGGG
rnacentral:rRNA from 1 species